AAAGAGUGCGUAAUAGCUCACUAGUCGAGUGAUCCUGCGCCGAAAAUGUAACGGGGCUAAACACAUUACCGAAAUCGUGGAUGCAGCUUUGCUGCAUGGUAGGAGAGCGUUCUAAGGGCGGUGAAGCCGGACCGUAAGGACCGGUGGAGCGCUUAGAAGUGAGAAUGCCGGUAUGAGUAGCGAAAGACAGGUGAGAAUCCUGUCCACCGAAUGACUAAGGUUUCCUGGGGAAGGCUCGUCCUCCCAGGGUUAGUCGGGACCUAAGCUGAGGCCGAGAGGCGUAGGCGAUGGACAACGGGUUGAUAUUCCCGUACCGGUCUGAUUUGUUUGAGCAAUGGAGGGACGCAGGAGGCUAACGAUGCGCACUAUCGGAUGUGCGUCCAAGCAGCAAGUCUGUCGGCGAGUCAAAUGCUUGCCGGCUCAAGGACAAGCUGUGACGGGUAUGAACGAUUUAUCGUUCUAAGUGAGUGACGUCACACUGCCGAGAAAAGCUUCUAGUUAGAAUCAGACCGCCCGUACCGCAAACCGACACAGGUAGUCGGGUCGAGAAGACCAAGGUGAGCGAGAGAACUCUCGUUAAGGAACUCGGCAAAAUGACCCCGUAACUUCGGGAGAAGGGGUGCUGAUCGCAAGAUCAGCCGCAGUGAAUAGGCCCAGGCGACUGUUUAUCAAAAACACAGGUUUCUGCAAAAUCGUAAGAUGAAGUAUAGGGGCUGACGCCUGCCCGGUGCUGGAAGGUUAAGAGGAUGGGUUAGCGCAAGCGAAGCUCAGAAUUGAAGCCCCAGUAAACGGCGGCCGUAACUAUAACGGUCCUAAGGUAGCGAAAUUCCUUGUCGGGUAAGUUCCGACCCGCACGAAAGGCGUAACGAUCUGGGCACUGUCUCAACGAGAGACUCGGUGAAAUUAUAAUACCCGUGAAGAUGCGGGUUACCCGCGACAGGACGGAAAGACCCCAUGGAGCUUUACUGUAGCUUGAUAUUGGGUGUUUGUACAACUUGUACAGGAUAGGUAGGAGCCGUAGAAGUCGGGACGCUAGCUUUCGAGGAGGCAUCGGUGGGAUACUACCCUCGUUGUAUGAACACUCUAACCCACGCCGGCAAUCACGGCGGGAGACAGUGUCAGGUGGGCAGUUUGACUGGGGCGG
rnacentral:rRNA from 1 species